rnacentral:rRNA from 1 species
AUAUAGACUUGUAUGAAUGGCUUCACGAGAAUUCAACUGUCUCCUUUGUCUAAUCAGUGAAACUGAUCUCCUCGUGCAGAAACGAGGAUAGUAUCAUAAGACGAGAAGACCCUAUGGAGCUUUAAACUCACAUCAACAAGUUCAUUCCUUAAAAUUUUAUAUUAAUUUAGCUUGCUCGAUUAAAGUUUUAGGUUGGGGCGACCAUGGAGAAAAAAUAAUCCUCCACGAUGAUUUUAACUAAGAGCCACAGCUCUAAGUAUUAAGACACUUAACUCACAUUGACCCAUUUUUUUGAUCAACGAACUAAGUUACCCUAGGGAUAACAGCGCAAUCCAUUUUAAGAGUCCCUAUCGACAAAUGGGUUUACGACCUCGAUGUUGGAUCAGGGCACCCAAGUGGUGCAACCGCUACUAAAGGUUCGUUUGUUCAACGAUUAAAGCCCUACGUGAUCUGAGUUCAGACCGGAGA